AGACCCGAAACCCGGUGAUCUAGCCAUGGGCAGGUUGAAGGUUGGGUAACACUAACUGGAGGACCGAACCGACUAAUGUUGAAAAAUUAGCGGAUGACCUGUGGCUGGGGGUGAAAGGCCAAUCAAACCGGGAGAUAGCUGGUUCUCCCCGAAAGCUAUUUAGGUAGCGCCUCGUGAAUUCAUCUCCGGGGGUAGAGCACUGUUUCGGCUAGGGGGCCAUCCCGGCUUACCAACCCGAUGCAAACUGCGAAUACCGGAGAAUGUUAUCACGGGAGACACACGGCGGGUGCUAACGUCCGUCGUGAAGAGGGAAACAACCCAGACCGCCAGCUAAGGUCCCAAAGUCAUGGUUAAGUGGGAAACGAUGUGGGAAGGCCCAGACAGCCAGGAUGUUGGCUUAGAAGCAGCCAUCAUUUAAAGAAAGCGUAAUAGCUCACUGGUCGAGUCGGCCUGCGCGGAAGAUGUAACGGGGCUAAACCAUGCACCGAAGCUGCGGCAGCGACGCUGAUGCGUUGUUGGGUAGGGGAGCGUUCUGUAAGCCUGCGAAGGUGACCUGUGAGGGUUGCUGGAGGUAUCAGAAGUGCGAAUGCUGACAUAAGUAACGAUAAAGCGGGUGAAAAGCCCGCUCGCCGGAAGACCAAGGGUUCCUGUCCAACGUUAAUCGGGGCAGGGUGAGUCGACCCCUAAGGCGAGGCCGAAAGGCGUAGUCGAUGGGAAACGGGUUAAUAUUCCCGUA
rnacentral:rRNA from 1 species